ACGGGAGGCAGCAGUAGGGAAUCUUGCGCAAUGGGCGAAAGCCUGACGCAGCAACGCCGCGUGGGGGAUGAAUGCCUUCGGGUUGUAAACCCCUUUCAGCAGGGACGAAAAUGACGGUACCUGCAGAAGAAGCUCCGGCCAACUACGUGCCAGCAGCCGCGGUAAUACGUAGGGAGCGAGCGUUGUCCGGAAUUAUUGGGCGUAAAGAGCUCGUAGGCGGUUCAGUAAGUCGGGUGUGAAAACUCAAGGCUCAACCUUGAGACGCCACUCGAUACUGCUGUGACUUGAGUCCGGUAGAGGAGUGUGGAAUUCCUGGUGUAGCGGUGAAAUGCGCAGAUAUYABBAGGRRVAMCAGCGGCGAAGGCGGCACUCUGGGCCGGUACUGACGCUGAGGAGCGAAAGCAUGGGGAGCAAACAGGAUGAGAUACCCUGGUAGUCCAUGCCGUAAACGUUGGGCACUUGAUAUGGGAUCAUAUCAACGGAUUCCGUGCCGUAGCUAACGC
rnacentral:rRNA from 1 species